rnacentral:rRNA from 1 species
GCUUGACUGUAUCUUGGAAUUGGGUUCGGGCUUUUCUUGCGCAGACUAGGUGGGAGGCUAUGAAGAUUUUCUCCUGGAAAGUUGGAGCCAACAGUGAGAGACCACUCUGGAAAGGCUAGAAUCCUAAUGGUGAUCCUUGAAUCAGGACACUUGACAGUUUCAGGUGGGCAGUUUUUCUGGGCGGAAGCCUCAUAAAAGGUAACUGAGGCGCGCAAAGGUCCCUCAGUCUGGACGGAAAUCAGACAUUGAGUGUAAAGGCAAAAGGGGGCUUGACUGCAAGACCCACAAGUCGAGCAGGGGCGAAAGCUGGCCUUAGUGAUCCGACGGUGCCGUGUGGAAGGGCCGUCGCUCAACGAAUAAAAGUUA